GAGAAAAAUAAGGCAGUUUCUGGGUACCGGUGCACCCCAGGCUGGCUUCUUCCUUUACCCCAUGACAGCUCUCACACUUGGCCAGGCGCUGUGGCUCAUGCCUGUAAUCCCAGCGCUGUGGGAGGAUUAGACUGGGGAAAUUAGACUAAGGAAUUCACCGGUGGCAACCCAACCUGUGACCAAGCUAAGCCUCCUGUCUGAGCCACACACAGCUCCUACUCUAAAGAGAAGGCGGCUUUUGGCUUAUUAAAGAGCCUACCAUAUGCCAAGAGCUUUGCAGCACAUUUCAUCAAAUUCUCAGAGCACUACAGGAGCAGGUCCUAGUCUCAGCUCCAUUUUACAGGUGAGAGAACUUACUUCCUGAAGGUCAUGUGUUGAUCUAGAGGAGGAGCUGGGCUAAGACUUCAGUCUGUGUGGCUCCAUGAUGUUCUCCAUGGUCCCUGACACUGCUGGUGUAGACAGAAGUGGGAGUCAGGGAGUGCUGGUGGAUUUCCUUGCUGAUCGAUGCUGCCUUUAGAUAGCCAGGAUCUCGGGACUGUGGUGGCCUGUUGUCUGUGCACCCUCACCAGUACUGAGGACUUUAAGAGAUGGAACUAGAAAAAAGAAAAAAAAAGAGAUGGAACUGGGCUUUGGUUUGGAUGUUUGUGUCCCCAUGAAACUUUGUGUUGAAACUUAAUCCUCAGUCCAACAGUGUUAAGAGGUGUGGCCUUAAGAAGGUGAUUAGGUCAUGAGAGCUGUCUUCAUGGAUGGGAUUAGCAACCUUACAUAAGGGACGAAGGGAACUAGUUAGACCCUUUUGCCCUUCCGUCCCUUGCACCACGUGAGUACCCACUGUUCCUCCCCGCCAGAGGUUGCGUAAUUGGGCGCCAUCUUGGAGGCAGACCGCAGCCCUUACCGGACCGCUGAAACUGCUAGCACCCUGAUAGCCGGCAGCCCAACCUCCAGAACUAACAGCUUAAAAGUCACCUUGUCUGGGAAGCCCUCCUGGUUGGCUACAAUGGGUUUGAAUUCCCAUGUAACACACUUGGCAUGCUUUUCCUGCCAAGUACUGAUCAUAUGUGUAAGUGGUUAAAAAUUUGUAUUUACUUAGUAGAAGCCCUAUGUUCUGAUUGAGUUGGAGCUGGCAGUGGGCAGGUACCGGGACUUUAGAUAAAACCAGA
rnacentral:lncRNA from 1 species